rfam:Felis catus breed Abyssinian Contig4437.1, whole genome shotgun sequence. [26-MAY-2016]
GCAUGGAUGGCUCAAUCGGUUAAGUGUCUGACUUUGGCUCAGGUCACGAUGUCACGGUUCGCGGGUUGGAGCCCCGCGUCGUGCU